rnacentral:rRNA from 1 species
AACGAACGCUGGCGGCGUGCCUAACACAUGCAAGUCGAACGAGAUCUUCGGGUCUAGUGGCGCACGGGUGCGUAACGCGUGGGAAUCUGCCCUUUGGUUCGGAAUAACAGUUGGAAACGACUGCUAAUACCGGAUGAUGACGAAAGUCCAAAGAUUUAUCGCCGGAGGAUGAGCCCGCGUAGGAUUAGCUAGUUGGUGUGGUAAAGGCGAACCAAGGCGACGAUCCUUAGCUGGUCUGAGAGGAUGAUCAGCCACACUGGGACUGAGACACGGCCCAGACUCAGACGGGAGGCAGCAGUGGGGAAUAUUGGACAAUGGGCGAAAGCCUGGUACAGCAAUGCCGCGUGAGUGAUGAAGGCCUUAGGGUUGUAAAGCUCUUUUACCCGGGAUGAUAAUGACAGUACCGGGAGAAUAAGCUCCGGCUAACUCCGUGCCAGCCGCCGCCGUAA